UACGUAGGGUGCGAGCGUUAAUCGGAAUUACUGGGCGUAAAGCGUGCGCAGGCGGUUGUGCAAGACAGAUGUGAAAUCCCCGGGCUUAACCUGGGAAUUGCAUUUGUGACUGCACGGCUAGAGUGUGUCAGAGGGGGGUGGAAUUCCACGUGUAGCAGUGAAAUGCGUAGAUAUGUGGAGGAAUACCGAUGGCGAAGGCAGCCCCCUGGGAUAACACUGACGCUCAUGCACGAAAGCGUGGGGAGCAAACAGG
rnacentral:rRNA from 1 species